rnacentral:rRNA from 1 species
UACGGGGGGAGCAAGCGUUGUUCGGAUUUACUGGGCGUAAAGAGCUCGUAGGCGGCUUGUCGCGUCGUCCGUGAAAACUUGGGGCUCAACCCCAAGCUUGCGGUCGAUACGGGCAGGCUAGAGUUCGGUAGGGGAGAGUGGAAUUCCUGGUGUAGCGGUGAAAUGCGCAGAUAUCAGGAAGAACACCCGUGGCGAAGGCGGCUCUCUGGGACGGUACUGACGCUGAGACGCGAAAGCGUGGGGAGCGAACAGG